rnacentral:tRNA from 1 species
AAUCUUAUAGUUUAAUUUAAAACCCUAAAUUGCAAAUUUAAUAAUGAGUGCAACUCUAAGAUUU